GCUUGCACUUCUGACGUUAGCGGCGAACGGGUGAGUAACACGUAAGGAAUCUACCUAUAAGCGGGGGAUAACAUUCGGAAACGGGUGCUAAUACCGCAUAAUAUCUUCUUCCGCAUGGAAAAAAAUUGAAAGA
rnacentral:rRNA from 1 species